rnacentral:misc_RNA from 1 species
GAUGAAGAACGCAGCGAAAUGCGAUACGUAAUGUGAAUUGCAAAUUCAGUGAAUCAUCGAGUCUUUGAACGCACAUUGCGCCCCCUGGUAUUCCGGGGGGCAUGCCUGUCCGAGCGUCAUUGCUGCCCUCAAGCACGGCUUGUGUGUUGGGCCCCGUCCUCCGAUCCCGGGGGACGGGCCCGAAAGGCAGCGGCGGUACCGCGUCCGGUCCUCGAGCGUAUGGGGCUUUGUCACCCGCUCUGUAGGCCCGGCCGGCGCUUGCCGAUCAACCCACAUUUUUUAUCCAGGUUGACCUCGGAUCAGGUAGGGAUACCCGCUGAACUGAAGCAUAUCAAAAGCGGAGGA